AAUAAAUACAACAACAAAUAAGAUAACGAG
rnacentral:guide_RNA from 1 species